UGGGGAAUAUUGGACAAUGGGCGAAAGCCUGAUCCAGCCAUGCCGCGUGUGUGAAGAAGGUCUUCGGAUUGUAAAGCACUUUAAGUUGGGAGGAAGGGCAUUAACCUAAUACGUUAGUGUUUUGACUUUACCGACAGAAUAAGCACCGGCUAACUCUGUGCCAGCAGCCGCGGUAAUACAGAGGGUGCAAGCGUUAAUCGGAAUUACUGGGCGUAAAGCGCGCGUAGGUGGUUUGUUAAGUUGGAUGUGAAAUCCCCGGGCUCAACCUGGGAACUGCAUUCAAAACUGACUGACUAGAGUAUGGUAGAGGGUGGUGGAAUUUCCUGUGUAGCGGUGAAAUGCGUAGAUAUAGGAAGGAACACCAGUGGCGAAGGCGACCACCUGGACUAAUACUGACACUGAGGUGCGAAAGCGUGGGGAGCAAACA
rnacentral:rRNA from 1 species